UACAUAGGGUGCGAGCGUUAAUCGGAAUUACUGGGCGUAAAGCGUGCGUAGACGGUAGCGUAAGUCAGAUGUGAAAGCCCCGGGCUCAACCUGGGAACUGCAUUUGAGACUGCUCUGCUCGGGUGCGGAAGAGGGAAGCGGAAUUUCCGGUGUAGCGGUGAAAUGCGUAGAUAUCGGAAGGAACACCAGUGGCGAAAGCGGCUGCCUGGUCCGACACCGACGUUCAGGCACGAAAGCGUGGGGAGCAAACAGG
rnacentral:rRNA from 1 species